rnacentral:rRNA from 1 species
UGCCUAUAUUUCGACUAUGGCAGAACAGGGGUUUUCUCCUGAACGUCGUGAAGAAAUUAUCUGUGCUUAUCAUUUCUUAAGAAAGAAGCUUCGAAAUUAUUUCCGCCCUAUCAGCUUUCGCCGGUAACGUAGUGGUUUACCGUGGCAGUGACGGGUAACGGGGAAUUAGGGUUUGACUCCGGAGAGGGAGCCUGAGAAACGGCUACCACAUCUAUGGAAGGCAGCAGGCGCGCGAAUUACCCAAUCCUAUACUAGGGAGGUAGUGACAAGAAAUAACAACAUAGGUAUCUAUAUUUAUGAUUGGAAUGAGAGGACUUUAAAAUAUUCCUCGAGGAUCCAUUGGAGGGCAAGUCUGGUGCCAGCAGCCGCGGUAAUUCCAGCUCCAACAGCGUAUAUUAAAGUUGCUGCAGUUAAAACGCUCGUAGUUGUUGUCCAACUAUAUACUGCAAAAUCUCGAAGAGGUGAGCAGGUUGUUAGUUUAGCAGAAAUCCGUUUUCUGCCAAAACCUUGAGGAAAGAUUAGUGUUCCAAGCAGUUACUAUUUGACCUCUCCAGCAUGGUAUUCAACCAAAUCGAA